rnacentral:lncRNA from 1 species
UUUCAAACAACAAUAGUCUUCAAAAACUCUUCCAUUAAUGUACAAAAGAUUGUUGCAUAUUUAACCCAAACAUAAACCCCCUAAAAUCCAAUCCCUUAAGCCUUCUUUGGUGACUUUUUGGCCUUUGGUGUCGAAGCCUUCUCCUCGGAAGCAGUAGAUUUCUUGGGCAACAGAACUGGGUUAAUGUUGGGGAGAACACCUCCACUUGCAAUAGUAACACCAGCCAACAACUUUCCCAGCUCUUCAUCAUUCCUCACUGCCAACAGCAAAUGCCUUGGAAUAAUCCUCGUCUUCUUAUUGUCCCUCGCCGCAUUUCCAGCCAACUCCAACACCUAUGAACCCAAAAUAGCAAAAACAUUAGUUAAAAAGUUACAGAUCUGAGAAGAAAAUCAAAUGGGGUUUUUAGUUUAUGUAUUUCUAGUACCUCAGCAGCAAGGUAUUCAAGAACAACUGCGAGAUAAAUAGGAGCACCAGAUCCAACACGCUGAGCAUAACGACCCUUCUUCAAGUAACGAGCAAUACGACCAACUGGAAACUGAAGACCAGCUUUCACUGACCUAGCUACAGCCUUCUUCUUUGAGCCACCCUUCCUUCCUCCGGCACCUUUGGGUGUCGUAGUAGCAUCCAUUUCUGUCAACAACUAAAUGUUUUGAAGAGAAAAAUAGAGAAUAAGCUUUGAGUGGUUUUUGCCUUUGAGAUUUGAAAGCUGACGAAGAAAAUGGAACGGUGGAGUUUGACAUUUAUAGGAUAGAGAUGGAUUGCCACGCUGGCGAUCCGUGUGAGUGGUAUUGUUAUUUCACGGUGCGGAUUUGUUGUUUUAAUGUAAGAUCGGACGGGUACCAAAAGCUUCAGAUUUUUGUAAUUUUGACGCCAAUAUACUUGGGACUGAAUUUUUUUGGAGACACUACAAUUUGUUGAUUACAUUUCAUUUUAUAUGGUGAUUAAAAAAUUAUAAAUUAAAUAAUAAAUUUUAUCAUUUUAUAUUUUACUCAUAUUAAUUACUUCAACAACAUAUUCAAUGUUUUCCCAUAUAGUGGGAUCUGGGAGGGCAGAGUGUACGCAGAUCAUACCAUUUCCUUAGAUAAAAUAGAGAGGCCGUUUCCGAUAGACUCCCGGUUUAGGACCGAUAACAGUAUAACAAACAUCAAACAUAAAUACAUAUAAAUUAGUACAGUUUGUAAAAUAAACUAACGGCACUAGCCAUAAGAUAAUAUUACAACCACAGGAUAAUACUAAAAACUAUCUAUUCGAAAUCAUAGAUAUCACUCAAUACCAUGAACAAAAAAUUUCAGACACAAAUAAAGAACACUCCCCUACUUUUACCGACGCACUCCCACCCCCUAACUCUCUACCCCAAUUUGUGUUCUCCACAUCUUCCUAUCAAGGGUCAUAUACUUUGUAAAAUAUAACUGCUCCAUAUCAUACCUAAUCACCUCCCUCCAAUAUUUCUUCUAUCUACCUCUGUCCUGCCUAAAAUCAUCCAUAGCCAGUGUCUCACACCUCUGUACUAGAGCAUCAAAGCCCAUCUUCAUCACAUGCACGAACCAACGUAACCUUACUUCCGCAUCUUGUCUUCCACCGAGGUCACUCCCACCUUCUCCUGAAUAAUCUCAUUUCUUGCCCUAUCUUUCCUAGUUUCACCACACAUUUAUCGUAACAUCCUCAUCUCCGCCACCUUCAACUUUAGGAUAUGGAAGUUCUUAACUGGUCAACACUCCGUUCCAUACAAUAUAAACGGUCGGACUGUCACUCUCUAAAACUUUCCUUUAAUUUUCGGGGGCACCUUCCUAUCACAUAAAACUUUUGAAGCGAGCCUCUAUUUCAACCACUCAGCCCCAAUACGAUGCAUGACAUCCUUGUCAAUCUCAACAUUACCCUGAAUCAUAGACCUCAAAUACUUGAAACUCUCCUUCUUCUGAAUGGGCUAAGAGUUCAACUUCACAACCACGUCAGCCUCUUGUGACACAUCACUAGACUUACACUCCAAGUACUCUGUCUUGGUCUUGUUUAACCGAAAUCCUUUAGACUCAAAGGUCUGUCUCCAAAUCAUCAACUUAUCAUUAAUUUCUUCCCGAGUCUCGUUAAUCAAUACCACACUAUCAGCAAAUAACAUACACCAAGGCACCUCCCCUUUAAUAUGUCGCGUCAAAAUUUUCAUCACCAUAGCAAAUAAAAAGGGGUAAGAGUCGAUCCCUGAUGCAACCCUGUCAAAAUCGAAAAGUGCUCUGAAUCUCACCUACCGUCCUUACCCGAGUCUUUGCGCCUUCAUACAUAUCCUGAAUCGAUCCAGUGUAUGCCACAAGUACCCCUUUAACCUCCAAGCACCUCCACAGAAUCUCCCUGGGAAUUUUGUCAUAAGCCUUUCCAAGAUCAAUAAACAUCAUGUGCAAGUCCUUCUUCCUCUCCCGAAACUGCUCCACUAAUCUCCUCACAAGAUGAAUGGCCUCAGUAGUCUAGUAACCUGGCAUGAAACCAAAUUGGUUUUCAGAGAUAGUCACGCUCCUUCUCAACCUCAACUCUACCAUCUUUUCUCAAACCUUCAUAAUAUUACUCAACAACUUAAUACCUCUAUAGUUGUUGUAACUCUGAAUGUCUCUUUUGUUCUUAUAUAAUGGAAUCAUUGUACUCUACCUCCAUGCUUCAAGCAUCUUCACCGCCCUAAAAAUGAUGUUAAACAACCCUGGUAACCACUCCAAACCUGCCCCUCUAGUGUUCUUCCAAAAAUCCACUAGAAUCUCGUCUGGCCCUAUUGCUCUACCCCGACGUAUCUUGCGAAUAAACCCCUUGACCUCCUCAACCUCGAUACUCCUACAAUAACCAUAGUCGCAACACUCCUCAGAUUUCUCCAAGUCCCCCGACACGAAACCUUUGUCCCCCUUAUCGUUCAAAAGUUUAUGAAAGUAAGACUGUCACAUCUUCCUAAUGAGGGCAUCCUCAACUAACAUAGUACCAUCCACGCCCUUGAUGCACCUCUCUUUGUCAAAGUCACGAGCCCUUCGCUCCCUAGCCUUGGCAAGCCUAUACAAUUUUUUAUAUUAUAAUUGUUCAUAUUUAAUAUAUAUUAUUAAUUAUAGGGGUAAAUAUAAACAAAUUAACUAAUUUUGUCCUGAUUUAGGAAGUAAUCAACUACUCCCUCUGUUUCAUAUUAUGUGGUCCUUAUAAACUUGACACACCCAUUAAGAAAUCAAUAAAUAGAGAUUUGUUUUAUAUAUCUACCCUUAUAUGCCUUUUAAAGUGCAAUAGCUAAUGCAACAAUUAAAUAAUGAAAUUUGAACAUAUUACUCCAUCCUAUGCAUUACGCCUAGAACGUUGAAUAUUUAUAAUUGAAACUAGUAAUAAUCAUUUAAUGGGCGUUUGGUCAUGAAAAUUAAAACUUUUGAAGUUAAAUUUAGAGUUGAAGUUGGAAUUGAAGUUGGAGUUGCAAUUGUGUUUUUCAUGAAUAUAGUUGGAGUUGUUUUUGAAUUUUGUUGAGAGAGGGAUAUGGAAAAAAAUGAAAACAACUUUUUCUUGUUUUCCACUUUUUCAAAUCCAACUCAAGUUGUGUUUGAAAUUUUCAUGGCCAAACAUCAACUUGGAGUUGGAUUUGACAUAAAGUGAAUUUUUAUUUUUAUUUUUGAAAAAGUGAAAAAAUAUAAUGGUCAAACAGGCCCUUAAUUUUGGUUUGAGAAUUAAGAUCACUUAUGCACCAUUCAAUAAUUUUGAAAACUUUGAAUGUAUUUAAUACUCCUACCAAGUUAAGAAAGCCAACUAAUAUAAAUUGGAGUGAGUAAUAUGGGACAUUUAUUUUUGGCAGAAUACAUCGACACACCUCUUAACUUGACAUUAUUUUUUACUUUGGCACUUCAACUGAGUGGUGUCCAUUUUUAACACCUUAAGUAGUCAUCAACUGUGUCACUUUGACACAUUUUGCUGAUUUGACACAUCGUGUAUAUUGCACACACUUUGAGCGCGUGAAUAGCUUAAAAACUAUACUAAUUUUUAGUUUUCUUCUUCUUCUUUCUUUUGAUCUUCUUCAACACUUUUCUCCAUUUUUAUUCACCAACCACUCAACCCAACCACGAUUUCUUCCUUAAUGAUAGUCAAAAAUGGAGAAAAAUUAAUCUACCAUCACCUUCUUCUUUCAAUUUCUAUAAAUUCAUAAUUUUCAAUCUCUCAUUUUAGCUCAAUUUCUGCCUCAAUUUUAAGUUCAUUUAAUGAUGAAAAGUUUUGAAAUAGAGUUAGAGUUAACAUGAAAGAAUGAAUAGUGUCAAAUGCAAUUAGAUUGUGAAAAUUUCCACCAAUUUGAAAUCUCAAUAAAUUUUUAACAAUUUUUUUGGUGAUGAAUUCUUAACAGUUUUUUCUUUUUUCAAAAGAUGAUUGUGUAGUAGGAGGUAAUUGAAGAGAAGGUUUUAGAUGUGGGGAUGGGUAGGCAGAGGAGGUGAAACGGUGGUAGUAAUUGGAGAAGACUACCAAGGGGUAGGGAAGUGGGUGGGGUGGGGGUGGGGGUGGAUGAGGUGGAGAAGACAAAUUUGGUGAGGGUGGGGUAAUUAUAAUCUAUUUUUUUAUAAUUAUUUGGGUUAAAAAGUGUCAAGUGUCAAUAUUUAAUUGAAAUUUUUUUAUUUUAAUUAAAAUUAGUUGUUUAAAAAUUAAGUUGGAGAGAAAUGACAAAUGUCCGCAUUUUAUUCGUCAAUUUUAAUGUCAUUAGCGCAAAUAGCACACAUGUGGAGUAUUUUUUUGCUGGUUAUGAAAAAAGUGCUGAAAUGACACACUUGAGACUGCUUUAGUUGCUAAAAAUGUGCACCGUCCCCUUGAAGUGCCAAAGUGAAAGAUGGUGUCAAGUUAAGGGGCCUGCCGAUGUAUUCCGCAUUUAUUUUUAGUAAGAUGAUUAACUAAAAUGGGACGAAGGGAAUAGCAUAUAUGCUAAAAAAUUUAUCUCAAAAUUGUUGCUAAAACAUUGUUUCAAUAUAGUUAGAUUGUUUUAAAGAUCAACAGAUAAUUAACUAUUUCCCCCGUCUUAUAUUAGUUGUUGGCUAUUUUCUUUUAGUGGCGGAUCCAAGAUUUAAGGAUAGUGGGUACUUUUAAAAACUGAAAAAGUAAAAAACCAACUCAAUGAGGUUUGAAUCCGAGGCCUCCUUCCAAUGGGUGCUUUCAUAUGGUUUAUACCUAUUUUCAUAUAUUUUCUAUGUAAUUAUACUUAUUCCAUAUCGAGUUUAGUGGUGCUGCAGCACCCCCAAAAUCCUACAUAGGUCCGCCCCUGUUUUCUUUUUUAUACGCUUAUUAAGAAAUGAUAAAUAAAUAAAUUAAAAAGGCAUUUUUUACCAAUUCACCUUAAAAAACUUUUUAAAAACUUUACAAGUAAGUGUGAACACUUUAAAAAAAAAAAAAAUUGUUAGGAUAAUAUGAAAAAAUUUAAUUAAUGUUUUGUUGAUUUAGAAUCAUGGACAACUAAUAUACAACAACCAUUUUAGUAAUAUGAUCAACUAAUAUAGGACAAUUAUUUUAGUAAGAUGACCAAUUAAUAUGGAACAAAGAGAGUAUUUUUUGUUCAACUAUACCCUUAGAAAUUAAUUUUUAGAUUAAUUGAACAAGAUUCAAGUAAUCAAGAUUAAACAGAUAAUAUAGUCAUAUUACUCAAUCUAAAUCCCUUAUUAAUUUUUCUUAAGAGUUGUUCAAAUCUAUACAUGCCAACUAUCUUGAGACGAGAAGAGUAGUUGGAGAUUUUUGUCAAUAUACUUCGUGGACUCUGGUGUUUUGCCAUGCAGAUGUUCUACCAAAGUAUUUCAGCACUGAAUGGUUUUUGGACUGUGGCGCAGUCCCGCUUGCAAGAAGGUCUGCAGCACAUUGUGGCCUUUGGUCACCAAAAGAGUACGGUUGUGAUUCUUGGCAUGGAUGGCAGGUAAUUUUGUUAACAUAAGUACCUUUGGGAAGAAUCCUGGUGCGAGUGUGUCGCUUUGUAGUCUUUGUUUCUUUUUUCCAACAUUGUCCCAACUUUCGUGACAAGUGAAUUACAUCUUUGGAAUUGAACUACUAAUGCUUUGGUGCAUUGGAAAUGCAGUUUCUACCGAUGCCUGUUUGGUGCAGCAACUGGUGGGGAGAUGACCCUGUUCGAAUAUCAAUCUUGUUGCGUGCAUGUAACAGUUCCUUUUUCUAUUCACUGCCCUACUUCUGUGGCUUUUGUUUUUGCUGUAUCUAUUUAUGAAUUUGCAGGGGAACAUGGUAGUGACUGUAAAUAUGCUGGCUGUAUAGGUUGUUGGGUUCAUAGAAGUGUGAAUGAGAAAUAGAGAAGAAAUGGUGGAGGAAAAGGAGACACCAAAAUUGGAAAGUGUACUCCUAAUUUGGAAAGCUUACUCUUUCUCGCACAUUGGUGGAAGAAGAGAAUUUUUUAGUGCUUAUAUUGUGAAACACUUACUCCACAUGGUAAGUGAGGCAAGGAAAUAGAGAUGCCUCGCACCGUCGUCGCUCGCUUGGAUUUGAAUUUGGCAAAUGAUCGAUCGAUGAGAUCUAUCUUUUUGGAUAAAUUUUAUUUGACAAAAUCUGAACAAUGAUGAAAAACGCAGGAAAAUAUUUCUGAGUUUUAAUCCUUCAUUUACAUGCAGUAACAGUGACGCGAUGCUACUAUUUUAUGUGAACAGCAACACAGAACAGUUGCACUGCUUCGGAAAUGUUGCAUUGCUUCAGAACUGGUGCACUGUUUUAUGUUACUUAUUGCAUUGCUUCAGAACUGGUGCACUGUUUUAUGUUACUUAACUGAAAUGAUGCACUGGUUGAAUAAACAGAUGCAACCAUUCAGCAAAAGACACACUGAUUCAUCGAAAGAUAUAACUGUUCAGGAAAGGAUGCAAUCUUUGAUAAACAGACAUGAAUUUACAGCAAAGGUGCAACCUUUGGAGUGAACCAUUGCCUCCUUUCUAAAGCGGCAUCUUGUGGCUAUAAAUAACCUGGUUUUUAUCCACAGGUUAGAGAUAGAAAAUACAGAAAUUUUUAGAUUACAAAACAUUCUUAUUGUCUUAAAAAAUACUCCAAGUGUGAUCAUUCAAACCGUGAUUGUGUUCGAAGAAUCCGCCUAUUUAAGGUACCGCUAUAAUCGGAUUUAAGGUCAUUUUAUCCUGGAAGGAAGAUUCCAUAACCUCGGGUACAGUGAGGAGUAUUAAUCCUUAAGGAAAGUCCGUGAACUCGGACGAUUUGGCCUUAAUCAUUUCUGUUUCAUCUUUAUUUUCUGAAAAAUAAAUACACCUCUUGGAAAGGUCUUUUUGAUCUUGUGUUGAGGGUGUUUAAUACUUCAUUGUGUUCUUGUUCAUACUUGAACUCAAGUUGAAGUUGUUGUUCUGUGAUACAGAUUCUACAUACUCGUAUUGUGGAAAAUAACAUAGGUUACUGCUGUGUAUAAUGCCAGAUAACAAAAUCGCUAUGGACGUGUCUGUCAUCUUAGUGCUUGAAGUAUCUACUUAGUUUUGCUUGGGAACUAAACAAGUUGCUGCUUAAAGCCUGUCAAUUAUAUAAAGUUUUCAAUUUUAUACGUCUCAACUAUAGUCAACCUUCAGUCUUUCUAGUCCACAAUCCUGGAGAAAAGAUGCAAGCACUAAAAUAAAUGAACAAAUAGGAAAACUUUACAUUUUAGCUGGUCCGCAAGGUGCUCUAUACCACCAAAAGGCAUCUCAUGAAAUUCAAUGACGAUGUCGCUGGAAUAGUUCAACAAGAACCCCCUGUCUCCACACAAAGGAUUUACUCCUACAGACAAACGAACUGAAGGAGAGCUACUAAGGGGACUAUGUCUUAGCAUAUUUAUUUCAUUAAUCUGUACUCUAAAUAGCACAUCUACAGCAAAACAAAGGUAUUGCUGGCACUAAAUUGAAACACUAGACGUUCUGUGCUACAUACUUGCACAUUUCCAUAUCAGAUACAAAGAAGCAUAUGAAUCCCAUUUUAUAUAGGUAGUAAAUGGUAUUCCUCAUCUAAUAUGUAUGUAAAGCUACUUACAUCGUUCCUCAUAUUAAGAGUGAAAUGGCAUCUAAUUUUGAAGAUAAAGAAAAGGAUAAAAAAAAAUUGAAAAAAACAUUGAUUUUGCUCAUGAAUGGUUUGGUGUGAAAGCAAAAGAGAUGUUUCCACAGUUGCAUUGGAAGUGAAAUCUUUUCCAGAUGAGGAAAAAGAUAAACUUGCACCCUCUCCAUAAUGCUGUGAUAAAUCAAGAGAAAGUGCACACUUCCUUUAUCUUAAUUGAAACACAUUCAUGUUAAGAAAAGAUGGACCCAACACUGUAAUCAAAUGAGAUUGUGGCUGCACGAAAUGAGAAGUUCUUUCUAGUCAUUUCCCGUAAGAAAGUUUUACUAAAUUUGUAGCCUUUGAGAAAUCAAUGCACAAUAAUAUUGUAAGUUGUGUUGUCUGACAAGCAAACAUUUGUCACCAUUUCUUUUAGCAUAUCUGCAUACGCAUAGUUGUGCACCAGUCAGGGACUCCAGUACCAAAGGAGACUGGAAGGAAACAUCAAUAUGACCAUCUGCUCAUAUACUCAAAACACUACAAUGCCUAAGCCAAUCCCAGGAUGCAGCUUGCUUGAUGUGCCUUAUUUUGCAGCUGGAAGUGGACUCACUAGAUUUCAUCUUUACAGUUACAAAAUCAGAACAUAAUCAAAACAGACCAUAGUACCCACAAACACAAGGCAAACUUUCAAAACUUACUGCAAUAAUCAACCAACAGACGUCAAAUUUCAAAGAUUGGCACAUUCAUAUGUGAAAGAGAACAAGGAUAGUCACAAGCAUGUGAAUUGAUUGAGAGCCAGCGGUAUAAUUCUUCAAAUACUACUAGUUACUACAAAAACAAUCAGCAUACAAACAAGUUAACAUACUCCUUCACACCUAUGGAAAGUACCGCAACAAAAUUAUACAAUGAAAGAGCAAUUCCUCGAGAGUUAUCCUGCAGUCUUCAAAAACUAUACAAUUAUUGUAUCCUUCACACCUAUGGAAAGUACCGCAACAAAACUAUACAAUGAAAGAGCAAUUCCUCAAGGUUUAUCCUGCAGUCUUCAAAAACUAUACAAUUAUUGUACUAAAUGAAACAACAAAUCCACAUGUUCAAAAUGCUGUGAUAAAUCAAGAGAAAGUGCACACUUCCUUUAUCUUAAUUGAAACACAUUCAUGUUAAGAAAAGAUGGACCCAACACUGUAAUCAAAUGAGAUUGUGGCUGCACGAAAUGAGAAGUUCUUUCUAGUCAUUUCCCGUAAGAAAGUUUUACUAAAUUUGUAGCCUUUGAGAAAUCAAUGCACAAUAAUAUUGUAAGUUGUGUUGUCUGACAAGCAAACAUUUGUCACCAUUUCUUUUAGCAUAUCUGCAUACGCAUAGUUGUGCACCAGUCAGGGACUCCAGUACCAAAGGAGACUGGAAGGAAACAUCAAUAUGACCAUCUGCUCAUAUACUCAAAACACUACAAUGCCUAAGCCAAUCCCAGGAUGCAGCUUGCUUGAUGUGCCUUAUUUUGCAGCUGGAAGUGGACUCACUAGAUUUCAUCUUUACAGUUACAAAAUCAGAACAUAAUCAAAACAGACCAUAGUACCCACAAACACAAGGCAAACUUUCAAAACUUACUGCAAUAAUCAACCAACAGACGUCAAAUUUCAAAGAUUGGCACAUUCAUAUGUGAAAGAGAACAAGGAUAGUCACAAGCAUGUGAAUUGAUUGAGAGCCAGCGGUAUAAUUCUUCAAAUACUACUAGUUACUACAAAAACAAUCAGCAUACAAACAAGUUAACAUACUCCUUCACACCUAUGGAAAGUACCGCAACAAAACUAUACAAUGAAAGAGCAAUUCCUUGAGGUUUAUCCUGCAGUCUUCAAAAACUAUACAAUUAUUGUAUCCUUCACACCUAUGGAAAGUACCGCAACAAAACUAUACAAUGAAAGAGCAAUUCCUCGAGGUUUAUCCUGCAGUCUUCAAAAACUAUACAAUUAUUGUACUAAAUGAAACAGCAAACCCACAUGUUCAAAAUCAACCAACAGACGUCAAAUUUCAAAGAUUGGCACAUUCAUAUGUGAAAGAGAACAAGGAUAGUCACAAGCAUGUGAAUUGAUUGAGAGCCAGCGGUAUAAUUCUUCAAAUACUACUAGUUACUACAAAAACAAUCAGCAUACAAACAAGUUAACAUACUCCUUCACACCUAUGGAAAGUACCGCAACAAAACUAUACAAUGAAAGAGCAAUUCCUCGAGAGUUAUCCUGCAGUCUUCAAAAACUAUACAAUUAUUGUACUAAAUGAAACAGCAAACCCACAUGUUCAAAAUCAACCAACAGACGUCAAAUUUCAAAGAUUGGCACAUUCAUAUGUGAAAGAGAACAAGGAUAGUCACAAGCAUGUGAAUUGAUUGAGAGCCAGCGGUAUAAUUCUUCAAAUACUACUAGUUACUACAAAAACAAUCAGCAUACAAACAAGUUAACAUACUCCUUCACACCUAUGGAAAGUACCGCAACAAAACUAUACAAUGAAAGAGCAAUUCCUCGAGAGUUAUCCUGCAGUCUUCAAAAACUAUACAAUUAUUGUAUCCUUCACACCUAUGGAAAGUACCGCAACAAAACUAUACAAUGAAAGAGCAAUUCCUCGAGGUUUAUCCUGCAGUCUUCAAAAACUAUACAAUUAUUGUAUCCUUCACACCUAUGGAAAGUACCGCAACAAAACUAUACAAUGAAAGAGCAAUUCCUCGAGGUUUAUCCUGCAGUCUUCAAAAACUAUACAAUUAUUGUAUCCUUCACACCUAUGGAAAGUACCGCAACAAAACUAUACAAUGAAAGAGCAAUUCCUCGAGGUUUAUCCUGCAGUCUUCAAAAACUAUACAAUUAUUGUAUCCUUCACACCUAUGGAAAGUACCGCAACAAAACUAUACAAUGAAAGAGCAAUUCCUCGAGGUUUAUCCUGCAGUCUUCAAAAACUAUACAAUUAUUGUACUAAAUGAAACAGCAAACCCACAUGUUCAAAAUCAACCAACAGACGUCAAAUUUCAAAGAUUGGCACAUUCAUAUGUGAAAGAGAACAAGGAUAGUCACAAGCAUGUGAAUUGAUUGAGAGCCAGCGGUAUAAUUCUUCAAAUACUACUAGUUACUACCAAAAAAUAAAUAAAAUAAAAAUAAAAAUAAAAACAAACAGCCUACUUCACCAAAAACUAAAUAAGGCACACAAGUCAGCUUUCUAUAACAUAAGACAGGAAAUAAUUACUUAGAGCCUGCAAGGGAUUUCAGUUAACAACACUACCGGACCACUGAAUUUAUAUAAACAACUUAAAUCAAGAAAACCAACAAUAUUUGCACAAGUUAUCCUAUUAGCAUCUGUCACGGUUCCAAGUUCAAUCUUCUUCCAUCUAUAACACCCAAAAAGCUGCAGAAGAAACUAAUAUUUAUGCCAAAGUUUAUAAGCUAUCAUAAGUUCAAAAGCAUACCCACUGAAACAAACUUGUUACCAAAACCAACAGCUGAAAAACUAAAAGAAACAUGCCCUGAUCUAUACUUUACAACAAUUACCAAAAUUUGAGAAUACUUGAUGAAUGCAAUACAUUUUAAAGUGGUGCCAAUUACACAAAAUAAUCUCACAGCUUUUUUACUUAUCAAAUUGAGAUAAUAAGAUAAGACAAUGAAUAACCCAAGAGGCCAAAUUUAGACAAUAAGAUUAGAAAAUGAGAUACUUUCUAUGAUAUUUCCAAGCACAUUACACCAAGGUUAUCAAAACAUAACAGAAACCUACAUCCUACUGCUAGAAAUUCCCAUAAAACUAGACAAAAGAUUACUGCAUAUUUAACCCAUACAUAAAACUGCCAAAUCUAUUAGGCCUUCUUUGGUGACUUGGUGGCUCUGGGCGUCGAUGCUUUCUCCUCGGAAGCAGUAGAUUUCUUAGGCAACAGAACUGGGUUAAUGUUGGGGAGAACACCUCCACUUGCAAUGGUAACCCCAGCCAACAAUUUUCCCAGCUCUUCAUCAUUCCUCACUGCCAACAGCAAAUGCCUUGGAAUAAUCCUCGUUUUCUUGUUGUCUCUUGCUGCAUUUCCAGCCAACUCCAACACCUAUUAAAUAAAAUGAAUAGAUUAUUAUAAAAAUCAAUAGAAAAUUACAGAUCUGAGAUAAUUUAUUGGGUUUAUUAUACCUCAGCAGCGAGGUAUUCAAGAACAGCAGCGAGGUAAAUAGGAGCACCAGAUCCAACACGCUGAGCAUAACGACCUUUCUUCAAGAAACGAGCAAUACGACCAACUGGGAACUGAAGACCAGCUUUCACAGACUUAGUUACAGCCUUCUUCCUUGGGCCACCCUUCCUUCCUGCUGCACCUUUGGUUUGCUUAGCAGCAUCCAUUUCGACAAACAAACAAUAAGAUUUGAAGAGAGAAAAUUGCUUCUAGUGAUUUCCGCUUUGAGAAUUGAAUGCUGAUGAAGAAAAUGAAACGGUGGAGUUUGGUAUUUAUAGGAUAGAGAUGGAUUGCCACGCUGGCGAUCCGCGUGAGUGGUAUUGUUCUUUGACGGUGUGGAUUUGUUGUUUUCAUGUUAGAUCGUACGGUUAGGAAAAGCUUAAAAGAUGGCGAUCCGUGGUUAAGGGAAACAGCGAAUGAUUUUGUGACACGCGUAUAUGUUUGGUGAAUUGCAGUAAGAGGUGAAUCGUGCGCGGGGAAUUUGAAUUUUACUAAAUUUAUUUUUUGCGCCUAUUUGUGAAAACUUUCUUAGCAAGAGAAAUAAAUGGGAUAAUUAUUUUUAUUCCUAAUUAAGUGCUAUUUAUAAUUUACCCGUCAAUCUCAAUAUCUCAUAUACAGUCAUUAACGAUUUUGCUCUUGGUUAUUAAAGACCCUAGCUCCUAAACUUUAUUAAUACUAUAACUAAAUUGUGAUUUUGACACCCAUCAACAUAAAAUUUGCAUGAAUAUAAAAUGAUCCUACUCACUAGUUUUUUUCCAUUUUUUAACUAAAUAAAAUUCUUACAAAAUAGCCAAGUAAAUCUUUUUUUAUGUUGAUAAGAAUUAGAGCAUAAAAGGGAUUUUGUCUAAUUUGGAUGCUUAUUUAGGAGGUGUCAAAAAGACUUAUCAGUAAUUUGAGAUCUUAAUAAAAUGAUUAUAUAAUUUAUUCAAUAUUAGGUAUAAAUAUAAAUCAAUGUUAUUAAACCUUACAGGGAGAAUUCAGAUAACUUAAGCAUUUCAUAAAGGCAUAAUAUUAUCAUCAAGUGAUAGAGAUAUAAAGGCAACACAAUGCACUAAACUUCUCAUUGUGUGCGAGGUUAACACAGAAAAUCUUAAAAUAGUAAAAUGUCAUAAUUGAGAUCGGAACUUGUGAUGGAUCUGUUUGGCACUUUUUGUCAUGUCAUAGGUAUAAAUUUCAUAUACUCGAACUUCAACUUGCAAGAUAUCGCUAUUUGAUUUAGACCACUUCAAAUCUCCUCGCCUUGACAACCUAUCACAGUAGAAUAAAUGAAUAUCUAGACAGUAGGGGUGUGCAAAAACCAAAUUGACCGAUAAAAAUGCUAUUGGGUUAUUGGUUAAACCGAUAAUCUAAUAAGGAUACAUUAAGUUAUUGUUUUACCCCUAUUUAUGUUAUAUAUAUAUAUAUAUAUAUAUAUAUGGAGUCUAAUACUUCUAACCAUGUUUGGAAAAUUCCGUUAGUUUUUCAAAGUUUGAAGUAUUUAGUAGCUUCCGACAAUUAGGAUUCAUUUUUUUUUUCGAACCAACAUUCAGUUCAAGUUUGAAGAUUCUUGUAAACUAAAAUGCAUUGCGUAGGAUUUUGGCGGUAACUAAGAUUUCAUUUUUUUGAUAUUGGUUGUUACUAUUUCUAUUUUAAAUGUAUUUUCUUAUUGGUUAAACCAAAAAUCGAACCGUUAAAGACUAAAAAUCAAUGAACCGAAAACUGAUAAGAAAAUAUCUUAUUGGUUGGUUAUUGGUUUUACAAAUUGAAAAACCGAUAAAUCAAACUAAUAACAUGUAAAACCGAACCGACCAAUGCACGCCCCUACUAACCAAGUACUUCUUUUAACAUCUCGUAUUACAUUGUUAAUUUUGUGGUAUGUAUCAAUAGAGACGCAAUAUGUAAGGAUAACUUUAAUAUGACUUUUAUCUUAUUUCUCUUUUUCUUUAUGCUCUUACUUAUUUGAUGUUUCCUCCCUUUUAAUUCAAGUAUCUAAUCAUUGCGUAGGAUUUUGGCGGUAACUAAGAUUUCAUUUUUUUGAUAUUGGUUGUUACUAUUUCUAUUUUAAAUGUAUUUUCUUAUUGGUUAAACCAAAAAUCGAACCGUUAAAGACUAAAAAUCAAUGAACCGAAAACUGAUAAGAAAAUAUCUUAUUGGUUGGUUAUUGGUUUUACAAAUUGAAAAACCGAUAAAUCAAACUAAUAACAUGUAAAACCGAACCGACCAAUGCACGCCCCUACUAACCAAGUACUUCUUUUAACAUCUCGUAUUACAUUGUUAAUUUUGUGGUAUGUAUCAAUAGAGACGCAAUAUGUAAGGAUAACUUUAAUAUGACUUUUAUCUUAUUUCUCUUUUUCUUUAUGCUCUUACUUAUUUGAUGUUUCCUCCCUUUUAAUUCAAGUAUCUAAUUUAUAUUUAUUUAUUUUGUUUGUUUUCUAAAAAAAAUGUAUAUUUAGUAAUAUUUUAAUUUUAAUAUUUUAUAUGAUUUAUUUAAAAUCAUAAGAUUCAAAAAGAUCUUUUGAUCCAUUACAUAUAUCUUUGAUUAAAACUAAAAGGAAUAGAAAAACUCCCUUAUUUUCUCAAUUCAUGUAUCUAGCCAGACAUCACACUUGAAUUACAGUUAAAAUAAUACGUAGUUUAUGAUCUUUUAAACCUUCUAUCCUAUUUUUCUAGUUAACUCCAACAUUAGGUAUUCGUCGGUUAUAAAUGGUUAAUGUUAAUAAUUGAUGGUAGUGGUUGAAGAAUGUAUGGUAGUUGAGGGUAAUAAUAGUUGUAAUCAUAGAGGUGGUUGGGUGUUAGUUGAUAAUGGUGGUGAGGUGGCAGCAACGACAUUGACAUUGGUGGUGUUGGCUAAAGAAAAUACGGUGGUAGACGAUGUAUUUAUGGUAGUUAACCGCAAUUCUAAUUGUGAUAAUGGGGUGGCUAAUUGUAGGGAUUGAUCAUAAUAAUGACGGUGGCUGAUAGCGAUAGCAACAGUGAGAACGACAAUAUAUAUCGUUAUAAUGAUAGAGGUAGUAAGCAUUGUAGCAGCUAUUGACAAUGAUAUUUGCAUGUGGUGGUACUUGUCUGUGGUAGUUGUGCUGGCGGAGGUUGCCGAUUUGUGGUGGUGUCUCAAUGAUGAAAAUUGUGGUUGACAGUAGUAGUAGCUAAUAAUUAUGGUAAGAGUGGUGAUAAAAAAUAUCAAUAUAAAAAUACUUUUUGAUGAUAUUAAGACCUAUUAAGGGUUGAAUCUAAGUGAAUUGAAUGCAUCAUUAAUAAAUGUACUCAAUGAUCUAAUAUAUGGAUGACUCAAAUUCAGACAUUCAUUAAGUGAAAACAAAUACAAGUAACUUAAAUCUCAACAAAAACAAAUAUAUAGUAGCUCAAAUUCAACUCAUCAAGUGCAAAUAUAUUGGGUGAUCAUGGUUUGGUUUUUAAUUAAUAUCAAAUUGAAACCAAUUUAGUCAAUUUUUAAAUUUCUAAAACUGCGUCGAACUUUAAUAAAAUAAAAUCUUUGAUUUGGUUGUUGUUGGUUUUGUUCGAUUUUCAAUUUAGCUAAUGAUAAAUUGAUAAUACUAAACCAACAGAGAAAUGAGAUGGCUCUUUCAAAUGAACAUUAGGACUCAACAACAUUCUCUCUAACAUCACAAGUUAAAUGUGUUCAAAUCUUUUCUUAGUUUUCAAUAGUAUUUUAAAACUUUAACAUGUUUAAGUUGUAUAACUAUAGAUGUUUUCCCAUUUCACAUGUCUAACAUCCACUAAAUGUACAAUUUUAAAUAAAAUGAUCAAGCCGUAAAAAAACAAAGGGGCAAGCUGCUGGAGAUGGAUAUUUUUAGCAAAUAAAAAUAAAAAUCAUUAAUACACCACACCACACCACAUAUAUACAUUUGGACUUAGACUACAUUUAUUUUUAUUAAGAUCAAGACGUCUGAAUCUGAAUGUAUAUCUGAAUAAUUAAGAUUUUUGUCUCUAAAUUUGAAAUUGAAUGAUUAAAACUGUUUAUCUUUUCAAUAUUUGAAUAUGCAUAGCUUAUUUAUUUGUAAACAUAAUAAAUAUAUAAUUUAAUUAAUUAAUUAGUCAAAUCUUAAAAAAAUAUCAAUCUAAUAAAGUGUAAUAAUUAUUUAAUAAAAAAAUUAUAUUUGCCAGUGACGAUGGAGAUGAUUUGUAAUGACAAUGGUGGUCAUAAUAGUUGGUGUUAGUGGAUAAAAGUGGUGGUGAUAAUAGUUAUGGUGGUGAAACUGGCUAGUUUUUGUAGUGACUGUCGUAUAUGAUAGCAUUUGAUAGUGAUGGGGUGGUUGUGAUGUGAAGUUGAUUGAUGUUAGUAGUUGGAGAUGUUGAUAGUGGUGGUUGACAUAUGUAUGUAUGAUGAUUGACAAUGUUCCAAUGGUAAUUGGAGACCCUGUUAGUGGUUGAUAAUUAUGGUAAAGGUAGUGACACCAAUGACAAUAAUGAUGAUAGUGGGCUGAUUUUGGUGUAUUUAUACGCCUAAGCACCAUAACUUAUCCAUAUUUUAGCUAAGUUUAGAGAACAAAGUGCGUAGUUUCUUAUGUUUUUACUCUACUUCUAUGUAAUUGAGCUAACUGAUGUGAUUAGCAUGAUUUCAAGUAUUAAUGAGGUAGAUGAAGACAUAAUGGGACUAUGAAAUGCGGAUGACAUAUGACACAAGAGAGAGUAGCAAUCUGGACCAAAUGUGGCACCUAGAAACUAUGUCCAAGACUAAUUUAUCAUUUAUAAUUAGUUCAGGCACUUAGAAGGAAAUUAUGAGAGAAGAGAUUAUUAAAAGACUUAAUUGUUGAAUUUUUAUUCACAAUUCAUUAUUCUGUAUUAUUCUGAGAGAGGAGAAAGACGGCUUAGCUUGAGGAAAGAGAGAGAAAUAUUUUUCUCUCUUAUUUUUACUAUUCGCACACCAAGAUCGUCUUCUAAUUUUUGGUAUGAUGAAUAUAUUUAUGAUGCUUUUCGUUUUAUUCAUGAGUAACUAAGUUUAUUAGUUAGGGUUAUGGAAGACUUGUAGUAUACAAUCUAUCACUCUGGGUUUUGAAUUCAUUAUGCAUUGAUUUGUUUACAUCAUACUCUCUUCGCUUAUCUUGAAUUCUCGUGGUUGCAAACAUAGAGGAUAUGCCUUAAAACGCAACUUGUUCGAAAGAAAGGUUGAUGUUCGGAAAAGAGAGUAGUGAUAAGAAAAUAGUAUUACCAACCCCUAUUUUAUAAGUUAAUACCUUAGCAAGAUUAACUACUUGGAGAUUUCAUAUUUUUUUUGGUGAACGCUUUUGAUUCGAGAGAACUAAAGUGAAUUAGUCCUUGAUGGUUGAGAAACACCAGGACUAUGUUAUUAAAUACAAUACAUUUCUCUGUAAGCUUGAUCCAUGUAUGAAUUCAUAAAGCCCAUAGUUAGUAAGUAUUGAAAACUACAAGGUGGACAUAACCCUAGCUUGCUAUUUCUCUGAAUUUGAAUACUACUACACAUAUUUCAUCUUGUUAAACUAAAACCAUUAAUUUGUGAACUGAAUCAAAUUUCCCCUAUUUAUUUUACGUAAACGAACUAUUAAAAGUCAACUAAUCUGCAUACAACUUAAUUAACACCAUAUUCCCAAUGGGAUUCUACCCCAACCUAGUUGGGUUAUAUUUGACAAUGACCGCUUACUCUCUCGUAAGAGAGGUGUAAUUUGGACGUAUCAUGGGCGAAGAAUGUGUAAAGAUUGAUGAUGUAUUAAUGGUAUUUGACGGUGAUACUAGUUGUGAUAGAUGAGUUAGUUGGUGGUAAGGAUUGACCCGACAGUGGUUGAUGGUGGUGACGGUGGAGAUAAUUAGAAAAAUGAAAGUGGUAUGUGAGGUAGCGUCCACCAGUAAUGCUUGGUAGUAGUUUUGGUUGUCAAUGGUGAUUGUGAUGGUAAAUGUGGUGGUGACUGGUGAUGGCAGAGAUGGUUAGUGGUGGUGACUGGUGAUUGUGGAUAGAAUGGUGAUGAAUAUUAUCCAUCACAAGAAUAUCUUUUAAUAAUAUUAAGACUUGGUUUAUAUCUAAAUGACUCUGACCUAUCUAGACAUAUUAAAAGUUAAAAUCUUAAUAAAAACAAGCGCACUCAAUGGUUUGAGGUCUGAACCAUUCAGACCUCCAUUAAGUGCAAACAAAAGAAGCCUUAGAUUCUUUUGUCUAUACGAGAUGAAAUCAUGCAAUUUCGAUACAGAUUCUCAAUAAAUAAGUAAAAGUUCACAAUAAAGUAUCAUACAAUAUCACAAAGUUAUUCUAAAAUAGUACAACAUUUAUUGAUUAAAUUUUAGUUCAAUAAAAAAUAAAAUUGAACAUGAGUUGUAGUGUAGUAUUGUUUUUUAACUUAAUUCCGCACACAAUACAGACAAACUCCUCACAUUGAAUAUGCAUUCUCAAUUAGAUAACAGAGAUGGACCAAAAUUGUUACUUUGAUCCAUUUGUUGGUCAAUAUCAUCAAUAACUAAAUCAUCAUAGCUGUAUUUUAUGAUUUUUCAAGAAGGACAAGUAACCGUUUAAAAAUCGUCAAUUCAAUAACUCAAUGUUGAUAAAUCAAUAACAUUUUUUGAUUCGAUCUUUGCAUGACAAAUUACAUUUGAAUAAAAUGGUUGGUUGAUAUAGAAUGUUUUUUUUUUUUUACAAAUCAUAAACUUAUGUGUUGUUAUAAAUGUAUUUACAUUAUAGUGAAUGCCUAUCAAGAUCUAUUAAGAUCUACUUUGAUAUCUAUUAGGAUUUGAAGCAUCCGUCUUUUACUCAGACGAGGAGUAAAUUUCCCCUAUAAAUAGAGGGGUUUUAUUCAUUGUAUUGACAAUCUUAUGAUCUCUCAUCCUUCAAAGAGAAAAAAUAAGAAUAACUCUCUCUAUUCUCUCUACUCUUCUUCUUGUUCUUUCUUAUUUUAUAACACGUUAUCAACACGAAGUUGUAACCAAUUGAGUAAUAAUUGAGAUAAAGCCGCCCAAAAUGUGAUCUGUCAAUUGCUCAACAUGCUUGAGGUAUUAUUUUUCUUUUAAUAAUUCCUCAUGAGGUAUGAUUUCUUUUAUUAAAUAAUUCCUUUAUUUUGUUCCGAUAUGGCAAAGAGCAAUAGAUCCACGAUUGGGACAAUGCACUGUUUUAAUAUUUACAUUACUGCUACUUUGAAAGAAAAAAAAAACUAAUUAAUACUUCAUUGAAUAAUUUUGAUUUGAAAAGAAGAAAUAUAAAAGAGUUACAUGCAAAGGUCCAUGCAUAUCUAAAAUUGCGUGAUGCGGUAGAUUGAUUGAAAAUUUCUUCUCUCUGUCUGCGUAUGCUUUACACAUUUUAUAUAUUUUUAUAUUAUAUUAUUAUAUCAUAUCUAUUGACAUUAACUCUUCUAUAUAAUUCAAGGUCAGUAAUUUCUUAUGUUAUCUGUAUUUUGUUACUAAUAAUAUAAUUAUUGUUGGAUUUGAGGAAAAAUAAUUGGUUUGGAACCAUUUAUGUUUAAAAUUUAUUCCUCAAGAACAAUAUUGUCAAAAAAAUAAUAAUAUAUUGGGUUCAAGUCCCAUCGAUUCAUGCCUAAGACGUCUUUAUAUGGAUCAAAUAUUGAGUUUGAAUCUCAAUACACCAUAUUGAUGAUAGUGUGAUGGACAAGGCAAAAUGAUGGGUGUUUGAUGAAAAGUCAUGAAAUUCGACCCAUUGAAUAUGCUCCAUUCCAUGAAGUGAAGGUGGUAGCAAUACAUGAUAAGUCUGAAGUAUGACAACUCACUUCCGAAUGAGGAAGAAUAAUUGAUUGAUUGUGAUGGUAUCACAACUCACCUCCGAAUGAGGAAGAAUAACUGAGAAUUGAUUGUGAUGGUGUCACAACUCACCUCCGAAUGAGGAAGAAUAAUUGAGAAAAAUUAUUUUGAAAUCUACUUCUAAAGUAGUAAAUCUGAAAUUUAUUCAUAUAAUAGUAAAUCUGAAAUUUACUAAAGCAAAAACACAUAUCAUGGUAAACUUGGAGUUUACUAGAAUAAACGUUCAUAAAUUGACAUGAAUGAUUGCGAUAUCUCGAAGAUAUGCAUACUGAGUAUUGAACAUAUAUAGAAGAAUUAGAAAAUUCUUUAUGAACUUGCUUGUUCUCAUCAUAAGUUGGUUGAACCAACUAAUUUUGAUAUUGGAUCCCUCAAAAUCUGAAAAGUAUAAAAGGUGAAUAAGGGUCCGUUCACCUAUCAUGUGAUAUGUUGAAAAGAUGCAUCAAUAAGAUGAUCACAUGUGCCUUCAUGGUCAACCUACGUUUGAUAUUCAUAAAGUUACUUGUUCAAUAUAAAUUGAGUAUGGUUUUCAGAUUGUGUAAUCAAGAUAAUUCAUCUUGAUGAUGAUGGUUUAGCAUUGAAUGCCUUCCAUAAAUAGUUGAACCAUUACUAAUGAGAACAAAGUUUCCUGCAUUGGUGUGAAAUAUGAUAUAUUGCAUACAAUAACACUUGUAUGCAUUAGACCAAUAUAUUAUGAUUAUUUCUCCCCUCUCAAUUGGUUCAAGGUCAGGAACCAACUAUUCCAUCUAAUAGUUUUGAUGUGCGGUAUAUGAUUAAUAAAUAUACCAUGAUGCAUAAAGAUGGAUUCCUUAAAGAAGACGAAGGAUGUAUGUUAGUUUUCCUACCAUAAGGGGGAGAUUAUAAGCAGCUAUGAAAUAUGUUAGGAAUUAUCAUCAGAUCCUCAUUCAAAAGAUAAUUCAAGUCAAAUGUCGAAAGCAUCUCAUAUUUAGCUGCAAGUGCUCCUAUUUUAUGUCCUUAGAGGAUAAAGUCUAUGUAUGCAUGAAGUAUGAUAGACCAAUUGGUUCCAAAUGAAAUAAUCUUUGAAAAGGAUAUGGAGCAAAUAAUCAUAAUAAGAAGACAAUGAGCCCUUGAAGAGCCUACGAUAUAACACUUCAUGAAACCUUAUGAGAGGUUCAUGUACCUGAAAUAAUGAAGUAAUGAGAUCUCAAAAUGCUAUGUCGCAUUGUGAACCGAUACUAAGUGAUAUAUCAUCAAUAUAUUUGACACAAUAUUGGCGCAAUAUUGUGAAAGAUUACGAGGAUCUUAAUUCUACGUUAAUUUAAGUAUGCAGAUGUAGAAAUAUUUAUCAAGUGACAUGAAAGGAUGCAUCUUGGUAAGUAUUAAACUUAUUUGAUUUGCAAUCCAAAUAUUUGAAGACGUCACUCAUGAAAUGUUGAAUAUUGUCACUUGAUAAAACUUAUGUGAAAAACUUCUUCAAGGAUUCAAAAUAUAAAAGUUUUUGGGAAACUUAUUGAUAAUCCUUAUAUUGUAUAAGCUUAUAGCUUGAAAAUUAUUGAAAUUCUUGGAGAGUUUUCAAAAGCAAUAAGAUUAUUUGCUGAAAUAAGAAAUAUACCAAUUUGGAUUGGUUAUGAAGUACCAUAUAUUAGUACAAUUGAUGCACUUAUGUAUCUUGUAAUACUACAAGACCCAAUAUAGCCUUUUGCUCAAUUUGUUAGCAAGGUAUAUUUCUACUCCUACUAGGAGACAUUGAAAUGGGAUAAGAUACAUGAGUUUAUUUUAUUCUAAAGAUUGCAGUCUCAAUCUUAUUGGUCAUGCUGAUAUUGGGUACUUAUCUGACCCGCAUAAAGCUCGGUCUCAAAUAGGCUAUGUGUUCAUAUGUGGUGGUACUGCAAUAUCUUGGAGAUAUACAAAGCAGUCUAUCAUAGUCACUUCAUUGAAUCAUGCUGAGAUAAUAGCUAUUCAUGAAGCAAGCCGAGAAUGUGUAUGGUUGAGGUCCAUGAUACAUCUCAUUCAAGAAAAAUGUGGUGUGAAAUAUGACAAUCUACCCACAAUUUUAUACAGAGAUAAUUCAGCAUACAUAGCACAUCUUAAGGGAGGAUUCAUAAAUGGAGAUAAAACAAAGCACAUUUUGUCAAAGCUUAUCUACAUACAUGAGCUACAAAAGAAUGAUGAUAUUAACGUGCAACGGAUUCGGUCAACUGUCAAUGUGACUAUUUAUUCACCAAAUCUUCUCCAAUUGCAACUUUUCAGAAGAUGCUGCACAAGAUCGAGAUGUAAAGGUCAAGGAUGUUCUCAUCAGGGGGAGUUAAUAUGCGCUGUACUCUUUUUCCCUUAUGAGGUUUUGUCCCAUUGGGUUUUCCUUGUAAGAUUUUUAAUGAGGCAGCCGAAAUACGUAUUAUUAGAGAUGUGUACUCUUUUUUCCUCACUAGAUUUUUUUCCUACUUGGUAUUUUCUAGUAAGGUUUUAACGAGGCACAUUAUUUACCAAUUAGACAUUCAAAGGGGAGUGUUAUAAAUGUAUUUACAUUAUAGUGAAUGUCUAUCAAGAUCUAUCAAGAUCUACUUUGAUAUCUAUUAAGAUUUAAAACAUCUGUCUUUUACUCAGACGAAGAGUAAAUUUUCCCUAUAAAUAGAGGAAUUUUGUUCACUGUAUUGAUAAUCUUAUGAUCUCUCAUCCUUCAAAAAGAAGAAAUAAGAAUAACUCUCUCUAUUCUCUCUACUCUUCUUCUUGUUCUUUCUUGUUUUAUAACAUGUGUCAAAUUUUAAAUUUUUAAAAUUUGAUAUCAUGAUAUAAAAUUUCAUUUUUUUCUGAGAGUUUUGGUAUUUUUGGUCUAAUGAUUUGAAAUUAUGAGAUAAAAUCGCAUGUCUAAAUGCUGAUUUUAUCUCAUGAUUUCAAGUCACGAGAUGAAAUCAUAUUUCUAAAGGCACAUAUGUUUUAAGAAGAAAUUUAAAAAUCUUGCAAUAUAUGUAUAAAAAUAUUUAUAAAAAAAACUAAUAUCAUUCAUGUAUUCAAAUUAUGAAAUUUAUUCAUAUAAUUUAUUUGUUCAAUAUCCUUCUUUCAUUUUCAGCUAAAUCAAAAUCUAAACGAAACCAAAUAUUGUUAGAUUUUUAAAAUUUUAAACCAAACAACAAAUGUCCCCUUUAAAAAAAAAAAUCAUUUGGUUUGAUUUUUGAUUGUAGCAAAAAGAUGUAUCCUAAAAUGACUAAACGACGUCGUACAUAUAUUUCCAGCGUUUAAUUUAGGCGGGGCAAUUGGCGCGGAUCCAAUUUGCGUUUGUUUAACGGUAGGGUUCUCACUCUUCUUCUCCGUAGAAAGGUAAUCUCAUUGUCCCCUAUAAUAUUCGCAAUUAAGCACACUAAUCAGAUCGAUGGAGUAUUAUUUAGAACUAAUGCUAUUGGUAAAUUCCAUCUUAAAUUAAAAAAUAUUGAUCAAUUAGUAGUGUUAGGGAAAUUUGAACACCUAAUAUUACUUGGCGAUAAUUGGGUGAUUAUGAAAGUAAAAUGUCUAGUUUGAAAAUCUUUUAUUUAUUCAUAUUCUUGAUUGAAUUUAGAGAAUAAUUAGAUUAUCAGUGUUAUUUUAAGUGAUUGCAGCAUGAAAAUUACUACUCCAUCCGUUCAGUUUUAAUUGUCAUGUUUGGCUUCUCGAAAGUCAAAAUUGUAUGAACUUUGACCAAUUUAUUUUCUCAUUAUAUUAAUAUAGUUUUUGAAUAUCUUUAAAUUUUAAAAUAUUGAAUUAACCUAAUUCAAUUUAGCUCCGAAGAUUAAUCAAAUUGGCUCUCUUGAAGCAAUAUGUGAAGAGUAAAAUUGAAUGGAGGAAGUACUGUGUUUUUUAUACCUAAACGUCAAUGUAGCUGUAUGUGAGUUUUUUUCACUAACUUCAGAAGUUUACAAUUUGCUUGAUUUCACUUCAAUGUGGAAUCUCUGAUUUUUUCUGUGUAUGUGUAGUCUUAGCCGCAUUGUUGUUGAAGCAAUUAUUAGAGCGAAAUUAAAUGGACCCAGACCAAGUUGUUGCUGAAUUGGUUGGAAUGGGAUUUGAGUUAUCUGAUAUUACAAAUGCUAUAGAAGUUGUGGGUCCAUCAAUUGAUGCUGCCAUUGAUUAUCUACUCGAUGAUUCUCGAAGAGACACUGCGAGUGCAUCAACUAGUAAUUCACGUUUCACCAGUCAUGCCGGUCCUCUGGGAAAAAGAGGCCCCAAUUCUACAUCGCGUGCUGCAGGCAAAAUACGACAAUCAAGCAUAAAUGAAUUCGUUGAAUCAGCUGGUAGACCUAAAAGAAGCAAGACAAUGAAUAAGUUGGAUCUGUCUCAAUCAGAAGUCCUGCAAAGAGAUACCAAAGAUCGAAAUGUGCAUCCUCCUAUAGAGGAUUCUGAUCUCCGCAUUGCAACUGAAAAGGCUGUAUUAUCAUCUUAUAGCAAAGAUGAAGAUGUUGGACCAGAUUGGCAAAAGAAGGUUGAGAAUUUGUUGCAGAAGCACUUUGGAUUUUCAUUGUUGAAGGAUUUUCAGAAAGAAGCUCUGGAAGCUUGGUUAUCUCACCGUGACUGUCUUGUUCUUGCAGCAACAGGAUCAGGUAUUAGCCUUUCAUACUUUUCCUUCGCCAUUCUCCCUCUUCCUGUAAAAUACGAUUUUUCGGUGUCUCAGAGUUAUGUUUCUGUAGGGCAAUCUUUGUGUUUUCAGAUUCCUGCAUUGCUGACCGGGAAGGUUGUCAUUGUUAUAUCACCUUUGAUUAGCUUGAUGCAUGAUCAGUGCUUGAAGUUAGCAAAUCAUGGUGUUUCUGCUUGCUUCCUUGGAUCUGGUCAAACUGAUCGAAGUGUUGAACAAAAAGCAAUGUCAGGCAUGUAUAGCAUCAUUUAUGUAUGCCCUGAGACAAUUUUAAGGUAUUGAGCAUGUACUCUUGAAUGGUACUUCAAGGAUAGUGUUGGCUGUUAUUGACAAAUGAGUUCCUGACUUUGUUUUUUUCC